GACGUGGGGUCCUAGCGUUGUUCGGAAUCACUGGGCGUAAAGGGCGCGUAGGCGGCCUGAUAAGUAGGGGGUGAAAUCCUGCGGCUUAACCGCAGGGCUGCCUUCUAAACUGUCAGGCUAGAGCACGGUAGAGGCAGAUGGAAUUCCCGGUGUAGCGGUGGAAUGCGUAGAGAUCGGGAAGAACAUCAGUGGCGAAGGCGGUCUGCUGGGCCGUUGCUGACGCUGAGGCGCGACAGCGUGGGGAGCAAACAGG
rnacentral:rRNA from 1 species